AUUUACCUGCCUUGUGCGUGAUAGGUGGAAAACUUGAACCCUCAAUUAGAUAAUUUAGGGAGCCAGCGUAAGGUAAGUGUGAGCUCUCCCAAAGGGAGAAAGCCUAAUCUUUCCUUCAAGGCGCCCACGUAUAGUUUUAGGGAUUCAAGACAUCUAUCUACACGGCAAGGUGGGGCUCAA
rnacentral:other from 1 species